UACGGAGGGUGCUAACGUUGUUCGGAAUUACUGGGCGUAAAGCGUGCGCAGGCGGUUCGUUAUGUCCGUUGUGAAAGCCCCGGGCUCAACCUGGGAAUGGCAAUGGAAACUGGCGGGCUAGAGUGUGGCAGAGGGGGGUGGAAUUCCGCGUGUAGCAGUGAAAUGCGUAGAUAUCGGGAGGAACAUCUGUGGCGAAGGCGACACCCUGGACCAGCACUGACACUGAGGCACGAAAGCGUGGGGAGCAAACAGG
rnacentral:rRNA from 1 species